GAGGAAGUAAAAGUCGUAACAAGGUUUCCGUAGGUGAAGGUUUGCUUACGGAAAUAGACCUGCAGCGACUCUAAAGAACUGCUCCAGUCGCCCCAGGCCAUUGGGGCUGGCAACGCUAUCAGUCUGCGCUGGGAGCCUCCCGUCUCGGGGGUCGACCGGCAGCUCCAGGGAACUCCUGAGUCCACAGAUCAAACGACGGCGGCCACUUUCGGUGGUUCAGAGAUGACCGGCCCCAGCCGCUUGACCGGCUGGUGAAACUAUCGCGGAACCUGCGGAAGGAUCAUUACCGAGAGGGGGCCUCGCGCUCCAGGGGCUUCGGUCCCGUACUCUUCACCCCUUGUCUACCCACCUUUGUUGCUUUGGCGGGCCUCGGGCUUUGUCCCGCGCCGGCCAGGGGCCUUACCGUCUCGGCUUGCGAGCGCCCGUCGAAGGCCUAUUUAAUUCUGUUUACCAGUGACGUCCGAGUGAAAACACAAAUAGUUAAAAACUUUCAACAACGGAUCUCUUGGUUCCAGCAUCGAUGAAGAACGCAGCGAAAUGCGAUAAGUAAUGUGAAUUGCAGAAUUCAGUGAAUCAUCGAAUCUUUGAACGCACAUUGCGCCCCUUGGUAUUCCGGGGGGCAUGCCUGUUCGAGCGUCAUUGCACUCCUCAAGCACAGCUUGGUAUUGAGCCUUCGCCCCCGCGGCGGGCCCGAAAAGCAUUGGCGGCUCGGCGUCGACUUUCAAGCGUAGUAAAUCUCCCGCUCUGGACGUCGCGCCGUGGCCUGCCAGACAACCCCCUAUAACUUCAAUGAUUGACCUCGGAUCAGGUAGGGAUACCCGCUGGACUAGCAUAUCA
rnacentral:rRNA from 1 species